AACCGGAUUAGAUACCCGGGUAGUCCCAGCCGUAAACGCUGCGGGUUAGGCUUUGCUAAAUCUACGAGAUUUAGCAGGGUCGUAGCGAAGGCGUUAAACCCGCCACCUGGGGAGUACAGCCGCAAGGCCGAAACUUAAAGGAAUUGCCGGGGGAGUACUACAAGCGGUGCGACGUGCGGUUUAAUUGGAUUUUACACCGAGAAACUUACCAGGGGCGACAGCACUAUGAAGGUCAGAUUAAAGGUUUUACCUAAGACGCUGAGAGGUGCUGCAUGGCCGCCGUCAGCUCGUGCUGUAAGGUGUCCUCUUAAGUGAGGAAACGAGCAAGACCUAUGCCUACAAUUACUAAUCCAGUCGAUGGAUGUACUUUGUAGGGACUGCAGUGGAAACACUGAGGAAGGUGUAGGCGACGGUAGGUCUGUAUAGCCCGAAUCUCCUGGGCUACACGCGCGUAACAAUGGUUAUGACAAUGUGUUGCAACUCCGAAAGGGGAAGCUAAUCACCAAACGUAAUCUUAGUUUAGAUCGAGGCUUGUAACUCAGCCUCGUGACAUCGGAAUCGCUAGUAACCGGGUUUUAUCAGAGCCCGGUGAAUAUGUCCAUUCUCCUUGGACACACUGCCCGUCAAACCAAUCAAGUAGGUCCUAGAAGAGCAUCUGUUAUUUUGGCAGUUGCAAUUCUUAGAUCUGUGAGAGGGGUUAAGUCGUCACAAGGUAUCCGUAGGGGAACCUGCGGAUG
rnacentral:rRNA from 1 species